GACGAACGCUGGCGGCGUGCUUAACACAUGCAAGUCGAACGGAAAGGCCUGCUUUCCCUUGUGGAUUGCGGGUACUCGAGUGGCGAACGGGUGAGUAACACGUGAGUGAUCUGCCCCCAACUUGGGUAUAAGCCUGGGAAACUGGGUCUAAUUCCCGAUAGGACUGCAGGGUGGUGCCUGUGGUGGAAAACGAUUUUCUAGUGGUUGGGGAUGAGCUCGCGGCCUAUCAGCUUGUUGGUGGGGUAAUGGCCUACCAAGGCGGCGACGGGUAGCCGGCCUGAGAGGGUUGACGGCCACAUUGGGACUGGGACCCGGCCCAGACUCCUACGGGAGGCAGGAGUGGGGAAUAUUGCACAGUGGGCGGGAUCCUGACGCAGCGACGCUGUGUGGAGGAUGACGGGCUUCGGGUUGUAAACUCCUUUCGACCGCGAGGAAGCCACCUGGUUGGAAGGGUGGUGACGGUAGUGGUAGAAGAAGCACCGGCUAACUACGUG
rnacentral:rRNA from 1 species